rnacentral:rRNA from 1 species
CAAGCAAAACGCAUUUAAGUUUGAAUCCCCGAAACUAAGUGAGCUACUUCGAAACAGUCUUAAGAACGAACCCAUCUCUGUUGCAAUAGAGUGGGAUGAUUUCCAAGUAGAGGCAAUAAACCUACCGCACUUAGAAAUAGCUGGUUGCCCAAGAAAAGAAUUUAAGUUCAACCUUAAGCUUACAAAUUACUUUUAAAAAUUUAUAAAAACUUGAGAGCUAUUCAAAUAAGGCACAGCUUAUUUGAAACAGGAUACAACCUACAAGAUGGGGUAACAUCUAUCAAUAAGUAAUAAGUGGGCCUAAGAGCAGCCACCUCCUAAAAAGCGUUAAAGCUUACUAUGCAUUUAUUAUUAAUACCUAAUUUCAUCCCUAACCCUUCUCUAAUAUUGAGCAAUUUCAUAAAUAUAUGAAAGAUAUAAUGCUAGAACUAGUAACAAGAAAUAAAUUUUCUCCAAAAUGUAAGCCUGAGCCAUAAUAGAUAAACUACUAGCAAUUAACGUGAAUGGAUACAUUAUAGUAACUAAACAAGAAAAUUCUAUAUUUACCAACGUCAACCUUACACUAGAACAUUAAUGGAAAGAUAAAAGAAAAAGAAGGAAUUCGGCAAAAUCUAGCCC